UUUCCAGACUCCUACGGGAGGCAGCAGUGGGGAAUAUUGCACAAUGGGGGGAACCCUGAUGCAGCGACGCCGCGUGAGUGAAGAAGUAUUUCGGUAUGUAAAGCUCUAUCAGCAGGGAAGAAGAUGACGGUACCUGACUAAGAAGCCCCGGCUAACUACGUGCCAGCAGCCGCGGUAAUACGUAGGGGGCAAGCGUUAUCCGGAUUUACUGGGUGUAAAGGGAGCGUAGACGGCGAUGCAAGCCAGAUGUGAAGGCCCGCGGCUCAACUGCGGUAGUGCAUUUGGAACUGUAUGGCUGGAGUGCAGGAGAGGCAGGCGGAAUUCCUAGUGUAGCGGUGAAAUGCGUAGAUAUUAGGAGGAACACCAGUGGCGAAGGCGGCCUGCUGGACUGUAACUGACGUUGAGGCUCGAAAGCGUGGGGAGCAAACAGGAUUAGAUACCCCGGUA
rnacentral:rRNA from 1 species